CAUGCCCAAAAUGGCACCCUAUUCCCUAUAUAGUGCACUACUAUUGUCCAAAAGUAUUGCGUUAGUGAAUAGGGAGCCAUUUCGGACACACCUGUGUACCUUUGUCCCUGAUCUAAACUUUGUAUAUCUAGAUCUAUAGAAAUGGAGUAAAAUAGAUAGAAAUCCAUUGAAAUAGACCUUCCUUGUGUUCUGGCUGUCUGUCAUAUUGACUGAGUGAUUGAUUGCGGAGGGGUGGAGGGGUGGUGGAGGAGUAACGAUUCUAGGGGUCAGAGAGAGGGGCGUCAACAAAAGAGGAUGAUUUGAUUUAGAAUGACUAAGAAACACUCUGGCUUAAAAUGAACUGGGGGGGGUGGGGGGUUGGCAAAUAGUAUGGAUAGUAGAGUGAGCACACAUUUUGAAGUAAGCACCUUACAUGUAAGUACCCUCAAUGAAGUAAGCAGACUAGUAAGAACCCUGUGCAAAUAAGAUCACUCUAGUGAUGUAAUAACCCUAUGAAGUAAACACAGUCCUUAUGAUGUAAUAACCCUAUGAAGUUAACACAGUCCUUAUGAUGUAAUAACCCUAUGAAGUAAACACAGUCCUUAUGAUGUAAUAACCCUAUGAAGUAAACACAGUCCUUAUGAUGUAAUAACCCUAUGAAGUAAACACAGUCCUUAUGAUGUAAUAACCCUAUGAAGUAAACACAGUCCUUAUGAUGUAAUAACCCUAUGAAGUAAACACAGUCCUUAUGAUGUAAGCACAUUAUGAAAUAAACACAGUCCUUAUGAUGUAAUAACCCUAUGAAGUAAACACAGUCCUUAUGAUGUAAUAACCCUAUGAAGUAAACACAGUCCUUAUGAUGUAAUAACCCUAUGAAGUAAACACAGUCCUUAUGAUGUAAUAACCCUAUGAAGUAAACACAGUCCUUAUGAUGUAAUAACCCUAUGAAGUAAACACAGUCCUUAUGAUGUAAUCACACUAUGAAGUAAACACAGUCCUUAUGAUGUAAUAACCCUAUGAAGUAAACACAGUCCUUAUGAUGUAAUAACCCUAUGAAGUAAACACAGUCCUUAUGAUGUAAGCACACUAUGAAGUAAACACAGUCCUUCUGAUGUAAGCACACACUAUGAAGUAAGUGUAUGCACUGUAUAGGGAAUAGGGUGCCAUUUGAGACGUAGCCAGUGAUAGUCAGUGUUGAUUCCAGCUUAACCCAUAGAAGACUCUCUCUCAGAUCAAUAGGCUGUAUACGUGGUCAUGUUUAGACUAUAUCCCUGUCUCUCACUCAGCCUUAAUGCACAUUUCCCUCCACUCACUGUGGGGGAGUGAAGGAGCAUAAUGGUCUAUACUCAAACACAGCCCCAGAACCAGGCCACUCUCUGUCCCCCUACAGAGGAGCAGACGUCUCCCUCCUGUCACUAACCCGAUGGACGACAGGCCAGUACAACCUGUGAUGUUCAAUGGCCGCCCCUGUAUUCCCCUAUAGACAGAGACAAGACAGGUGGCCAAUCACUGUAUUCCCCUAUAGAGAGAGACAAGACAGGUGGGCCAAUCACUGUAUUCCCCUAUAGAGAGAGACAAGACAGGUGGGCCAAUCACUGUAUUCCCCUAUAGAGAGAGACAAGACAGGUGGGCCAAUCACUGUAUUCCCCUAUAGAGAGAGACAAGACAGGUGGCCAAUCACUGUGUUCCCCUAUAGAGAGAGACAAGACAGGUGGCCAAUCACUGUGUUCCCCUAUAGAGAGAGACAAGACAGGUGGCCAAUCACUGUGUUCCCCUAUAGAGAGAGACAAGACAGGUGGGCCAAUCACUGUGUUCCCCUAUAGAGAGAGACAAGACAGGUGGGCCAAUCACUGUGUUCCCCUAUAGAGAGAGACAAGACAGGUGGGCCAAUCACUGUGUUCCCCUAUAGAGAGAGACAAGACAGGUGGCCAAUCACUGUGUUCCCCUAUAGAGAGAGACAAGACAGGUGGGCCAAUCACUGUGUUCCCCUAUAGAGAGAGACAAGACAGGUGGCCAAUCACUGUGUUCCCCUAUAGAGAGAGACAAGACAG